rnacentral:rRNA from 1 species
GAUGAACGCUAGCUACAGGCUUAACACAUGCAAGUCGAGGGAGCGGCGCGCGGGAGAGUAACGUGUCUCCCACCCACCUAUUUCUGUGGGAUAACCUGCCGAAAGACAGACUAAUACCGCAUAGUAAUGGAUGGGGAUGCGUCUGAUUAGCUUGUUGGCGGGGUAACGGCCCACCAAGGCAACGAUCAGUAGGGGUUCUGAGAGGAAGGUCCCCCACAUUGGAACUGAGACACGGUCCAAACUCCUACGGGAGGCAGCAGUGAGGAAUAUUGGUCAAUGGGCGCGAGCCUGAACCAGCCAAGUAGCGUGCAGGAUGACGGCCUAUGGGUUGUAAACUGCUUUUGUAUGAGAAUAGGUACCAUACGAAUAAGGACCGGCUAAUUCCGUGCCAGCCGCCGCGGUAAUAC